rnacentral:rRNA from 1 species
UUCGCAAUGCCCGAAAGGGUGACGAAGCGACGCCGCGUGGGUGAGGAAGGCCUUCGGGUUGUAAAGCCCUGUCAGGAGUUAAGAAAUGUAAGUGCGCUAAUAUCGCAUUUAUUUGACGAAGGCUCCAAAGGAAGUCACGGCUAACUCUGUGCCAGCAGCCGCGGUAAUACAGAGGUGGCAAGCGUUGUUCGGAAUUAUUGGGCGUAAAGAGCACGUAGGUGGGUUUGUAAGUCAGAUGUGAAGGCCUUCUGUUCAACGGAAGAAUUGCAUCUGAAACUGCGAGUCUUGAGUGUAGGGGGGGAGAAUGGAACUUCUGGUGGAGCGGUGAAAUGCGUAGAUAUCAGAAGGAACGCCGGCGGCGAAAGCGAUUCUCUGGCCUAUUACUGACACUCAGUGUGCGAAAGCUAGGGGAGCAAACGGGAUUAGAUACCCCGGUAGUCCUAGCCGUAAACGAUGGGCACUAAGUAGA